rnacentral:lncRNA from 1 species
UUGGGUGUAUGGGGUGAGCCUGUUGGCUCGGGUUUAGUAGUCCGUCUCCUCUUUGUGUUCACUUUUGCUUUUUUAUUUUCUCAUUAAUAAAUUUCUUCUCUAAAAAAAUAGUAAUUUUAGACACGUAUAAAAGCUGUAAUAGCCCAUCUUACCCAGGUCCGAUUAAAACCCAAUAAAAAUAAAACCAAGUUCAAAGUCCAUUUACAUAAUUAAAGUCAAUGUCCAGAUUACAGCAAAAUCAACACGGCCCAAUAAACUAAACCCAAUUAGCCUAAGCCCAACACCCUAGCCCAACUAGCCUAAACCAGCCUUGACCGAAACCUUAGCAGCAACAUCCAGCAGCGCCGCAGUCGAGCCCCGGGUCUCCCCGCGCGUGCUGCGCCUCUGUGCGCGUGCACUCCUCCUCCGUAUGCCCGUACUUGCAAUGCAACAAAUGCAACAAAACAGAUAAAACAAGCAAUAACAGAAGGGCAAUAAGCGAAUAAUAGAAAAUAGCAGAAAAACUAAGAAAAAUGUAAAAAAGUUUUCGAAUUUUUUUCUUUUCUUUCCACUCUAUUUUGGCAAUAUAAAGCCGGACAUCAAAGGUUGUAAAGGGGGGAUAGAAAAAGGGAUGUAAAACACUGAAGAGGCAUCAAUACGAAAAAAAUCAAACAUUUUUGAAAGAAGGUGUUCUUUUUUUUCAUUUAAUUCUUUUUCUCUCUGCGUUUCUUUUUUUCUUUUCUUUUUUUUUAUUAUCAAUCGUGUAUAAAAAAAAAAAGAAAAAGGAAGAGUCGAGGUCGAGAAACUUACCUGGUGGCUGAGGCGUCGCUUGCUCCGUCGCAAUCGGAGUCUAACGAGGCCGGAGGGCCUUAGGGCGGUCUGUUGCGGCUAGGGUUUUUGCCCAUUUGAAAAUGAAAAAAAC